rnacentral:rRNA from 1 species
UACGAAGGGGGCUAGCGUUGCUCGGAAUUACUGGGCGUAAAGGGAGCGUAGGCGGGUCGUCAAGUUGGGGGUGAAAGCCCAGGGCUCAACCUUGGAAUUGCCUUCAAAACUGACGAUCUAGAGUAUGGAAGAGGUAAGUGGAACUCCGAGUGUAGAGGUGAAAUUCGUAGAUAUUCGGAAGAACACCAGUGGCGAAGGCGGCUCUCUGGGUCGGCCCUGACGCUGAGGCGCGAAAGCGUGGGGAGCGAACGGG